UACGGGGGGGGCAAGGCGUUGUUCGGAAUUACUGGGCGUAAAGGGCGCGUAGGCGGUUCGCUAAGUUGAAUGUGAAAACUCUGGGCUUAACCCAGAGCCUGCAUUCAAUACUGGCGGGCUAGAGUUCUGGAGGGGAGUAGCGGAAUUCCGUGGUGUAGCGGUGAAAUGCGUAGGAUAAUCAGGAGGAACACCGGUGGCGAAGGCGGGCUAGUCGUGGAAGCAGGAGUUGCUGACGCUGAGGCGCGAAAGCUAGGGGAGCAAACAGG
rnacentral:rRNA from 1 species